rnacentral:tRNA from 1 species
AAAUAAGAAUUAAUUUAAUUAAAUUUAAUUUCGACUUAAACCUAGGAAAAUCUAAAUUUUCCCUUAUUUA